GAAUUGCAAAGAGGCAAGAAAAGAACACAAAAACUCUAUUCCUUUAAAUUAAAAAUCUAUGAAAAUACAGGUAUAACCAAAUUACAUAACACACAUUCACUCUUGAUGAUUAUCUCCUCAACAUUUUACACUCAUUUUUGGCCUUUUUAUUUUCUUUUCUCUAAACCUGCACAGCAAAAAGUUGCAAUAUACAAAACGCAAAUGUCCUCUCUCCUUACAAACCACAAGAAAAUCAAUAAAAUAAAAACCAUAAUCCUACUCUUCUUCAAUUUCAAUGGCACAUAUUCUCAAAUCCAUGCAUAG